UACGUAGGGUGCGAGCGUUGUCCGGAAUUACUGGGGGUAAAGAGCUCGUAGGUGGUUUGUCGCGUUGUUCGUGAAAACUCACAGCUUAACUGUGGGCGUGCGGGCGAUACGGGCAGACUGGAGUACUGCAGGGGAGACUGGAAUUCCUGGUGUAGCGGUGGAAUGCGCAGAUAUCAGGAGGAACACCGGUGGCGAAGGCGGGUCUCUGGGCAGUAACUGACGCUGAGGAGCGAAAGCGUGGGGAGCGAACAGG
rnacentral:rRNA from 1 species